ensembl:lncRNA
CGGCAGGGCAGAAAAAAUUGGACUGAACGACACACAGACUGAUUGAAUUGGACUGUGCGUGUCUUCACACGAGGCUCUGCUUCUCGGUAUGCUGCUGCGGAGCGCUAAAUUCAAAGUUGUGUUGCGUCACUGGGGAGGACUCCUCGGUACAGUUCAGCUGUGAUUACACUCCUCCUCCUCUUACACAGAACACUGACAACCUCAGUCCUCACUGAAGCCACUGGACAUUACCUCACUCUUCGGUACAUAGAUGAGAUAUCCAAACAGACAGGUUUUCUGAUUCCAAAGCCAUAUGGAUAUUGGAUGUAUGCAUGUUGUGGUACUAUCUUUAGAGGAUAGUGCAUGUCACUCCUGUUGUGCACUGAUGAGAGGACCAGGCUUCCCAAUGGAUGGAAUGGUGCAUGUGUGGCUGCUGAUAGGGUUCAUCCAGGUGAUCAGUUUCUCUUGUGUCCAGUGCGGCCGAGUUGGCGGUCGUGGUUGUUGAGGUUAUGUUUGGCCGCUUCCCCUCUGGUCCAGACUGCUACACUAUCUCCUACAGAAUGGCACACAACCUCACGGUGUGGCUUGAUCCUAUUGGCCGCUCUGAGUGUUCACCUGACUGCAGGCUGCUGCUGCAAUUGGCUGAGGAGCCAGUAGGAAGUGACAUCACAUGGAACGCUAUAAAAAAAACUAAGACUAAGACCUUUCAUAUUGCUCCUGUCCCCCUCUCCUCUCUCCGUGUCGAGGUGACCACCACCAGUGCUUUGCUGUCCUGCACCCUACAGAUCCAACAGACUCUCACUGCCCUCACUCUUCACAACCAUGCACACCAAACACACACACACACUGACCACACACACAACUCCUCGUACGCAGUGAGAGGUCUGCAGCCUGGAGCACACUACAGCAUCACAGCAGAGUUGACCACGCCCUUCACACACCUCAACAUCAGCCUCACCCAGAGACUACACACCACCAUGGAUACAGCCCAAUGUCCUAUUGGUUGGCUGGCGAGCGGAAGGAGCUACUAUAGUGUGAGUAGGCAGAGCCUGUCAUGGGGCGACGCCCAGCAAACCUGUAUGGGCGUGGCUUCAGGAGGUCACCUGGUAGACGUUAAAACAGAGACAGACCUCCUCCUCCUCUCCUCUCACCUGACCACACAUAACAACCUGCUACUGCUCUGGACCGCUCUCAAUGACAGAAAGGAGAAGAGGUGGCCCCAUUCGUCCGAUGGCUCCUCCUACAACAUGGCUAGUGCUAUCAUUAUCGCUGCUAGCCAAUCAGACGGACUGUUUUGCCCUGCAGAAGAACUCUACUGGACCCGGCUACUUUCUUACGCCAUUCUUCUGCCACAUCCUUUUACCCUUUAUCCGUUACUGGGAAAAGAGAAAAGCAGAUAUCCACUGGAGUGAUGUCACCCCCCCCCAGCUCUAUGUCCAAUACAAAGAUCAGGAAGGGGAAGAAAAUGGGGAAGAGGAGAAAGAAAGGGAGAAGAGAAGUGCAGGUCGUGUCCCAGUGUCCCUAUUGUCCAGAGGGCCGAAGGUGCCAGGUCUGUCCCCAGGGAAGAUCUACUCUCUGUCCCUCAGAGCCUCUCACCUCGCUGGGGCCGCUUGAAGCCUUGGGAACACGCACAUCACUCACACACGGCCCCUUCCCCCUCGGAACAUCACCAUUUGCAAUGUGACAGCCAGUCAGAUCACAGUAAACUGGACGGCCCCAGACUCCCAGCAUGCUGUGCUGUUCCUGGUUUGCUGGGGGGAUGUAGCUUCAGGCCAGGAGAGGAGAAGGGGCGUGGCCAACAGUUCCAGGUCGACUGUGAUUGGAGGACUGGAGGGGUUCAGGAAGUACAGGGUCAGAGUUAACGCCGUCACAGAACAUGAUGUGGCAAGUAGUGGAGGAACUGACCAUACACACUGGUGGGAGAGGGUGGUGUGGAGUACAAUAGAGAUUGCGUCAUCUAUGGAUCCGUUGGUGCAGUAUGCAAAUCGGAAUGGGUCCAGGGUGUCUCGAAUGAUGGUGUGAUCCAGGAGCAGUCUUUCAAAGCAUUUCAUGUCUACAGAUGUGAGUACUACGG